UACGGAGGGUGCGAGCGUUGUCCGGAAUCAUUGGGCGUAAAGCGCACGUAGGCGGCCGAUUAAGUCGGGUGUGAAAGCCCCGGGCUCAACCCGGGAAGUGCACUCGAAACUGACCGGCUUGAAUAUGGAAGAGGGUCGCGGAAUUCCCGGUGUAGAGGUGAAAUUCGUAGAUAUCGGGAGGAACACCAGUGGCGAAGGCGGCGACCUGGGCCAAUAUUGACGCUGAGGUGCGAAAGCGUGGGGAGCAAACAGG
rnacentral:rRNA from 1 species